AUUAAUCACGGGCGUCACGAACUGAGGAACUUCACGGUGAUUCGGGAGUUUUCGGGACAGUGUAUAUCAAGCUUUGUUAUCCUCGCCCGUCUCAGUUGCUACUCGGUUGUGAACACGCGUCGGCGACUGCUCCAAGAUGACUUCGGAAGGCACUAACCUGGUGGCCACCUACUGCAUCCUACUGCUCCUGCUGGUCUCACUGUGGUUGCUGUAUUCAGCAUUUUAGAAAUAAUCGACGGGAGAGUCCACCUACCAUGUGAUCCAGGAGGCGGCCAGAUGAAAUGCCACAAAAAACAUUAAAUUAAGAAACCGUAACCUUAGUAACUAAGUUAGUGAUAAGUAAGCCAUGUAAUAUACCCACGCAUUUAAGUAUACUAAGAACCACAAUCCUCGUCAUGCUGAAGACCUGCGAGCGACUUUUAGACAUCAACAUCAUACGCCAAAUUUUAACUAUUCAGUGCUGGGCAUUCCAAUUUAAUUAAACUCUUAACUAAAAAUGUAAGUGAAAGACAACUAAAUAGAAUGUCGUAUCUAAUACCAACGAGGUUGACCAUUGGCAAUAUUUUGCUGUUUGGUGCUGAUCAUCUCUAUUAAGAAUUUAUCGUUGUUAAGAUUAUUAAGCGUUUUUAAUAAAGUUUUUUAGAAGAC